rnacentral:rRNA from 1 species
AGCGAACGCUGGCGGCGUGCCUAAUACAUGCAAGUCGAGCGAAUCGAUGGGAGCUUGCUCCCUGAGAUUAGCGGCGGACGGGUGAGUAACACGUGGGUAACCUGCCUGUAAGACUGGGAUAACUUCGGGAAACCGGAGCUAAUACCGGAUACUUUCUUUUCUCGCAUGAGGGAAGAUGGAAAGAUGGUUCUGCUAUCACUUACAGAUGGACCCGCGGCGCAUUAGCUAGUUGGUGAGGUAACGGCUCACCAAGGCAACGAUGCGUAGCCGACCGGGGAGGGUGAUCGGCAACACUGGGACUGAGACACAGCCCAGACUCCUACGGGAGGCAGCAGUAGGGAAUCUUCCGCAAUGGACGAAAGUCUGACGGAGCAACGCCGCGUGAGCGAAGAAGGCCUUCGGGUCGUAAAGCUCUGUUGUUAGGGAAGAACAAGUACGAGAGUAACUGCUCGUACCUUGACGGUACCUAACCAGAAAGCCACGGCUAACUACGUGCCAGCCGCCGCAGUAAAAC